AGGUUAACCGUAUAGGGGAGCCGUAGAGAAAUCGAGUCUUAAUAGGGCGUUUAGUUGCUGGGUAUAGACCCGAAACCAGGCGAUCUAUCCAUGAGCAGGUUGAAGGUUGGGUAACACUAACUGGAGGACCGAACCCACUGUCGUUGAAAAGCCAGGGGAUGACUUGUGGAUAGGGGGGAAAGGCUAAUCAAGCCUGGUGAUAGCUGGUUCUCCCCGAAAGCUAUUUAGGUAGCGCCUCGGACGAAUACCAUAGGGGGUAGAGCACUGUUUCGGCUAGGGGGUCAUCCCGACUUACCAAACCGAUGCAAACUCCGAAUACCUAUGAGUACUAUCCGGGAGACAGACUGCGGGUGCUAACGUCCGUAGUCAAGAGGAAAACAAUCCAGACCGCCAGCUAAGGCCCCAAAAUCAUAGUUAAGUGGGAAACGAUGUGGGAAGGCAUAGACAGCUAGGAGGUUGGCUUAGAAGCAGCCACCCUUUAAAGAAAGCGUAAUAGCUCACUAGUCGAGUCGGCCUGCGCGGAAGAUGUAACGGGGCUAAAACUAUGUGCCGAAGCUGCGGAUUUGACAUUAGUCAAGUGGUAGGGGAGCGUUCUGUAAGCCGAUGAAGGUGUAUUGAGAAGUAUGCUGGAGGUAUCAGAAGUGCGAAUGCUGACGUGAGUAACGACAAAACGGGUGAAAAACCCGUUCGCCGAAAGACCAAGGGUUCCAGUCCAACGUUAAUCGGGGCUGGGUGAGUCGACCCCUAAGGCGAGGCCGAAAGGCGUAGUCGAUGGGAAAAUGGUUAAUAUUCCAUUACUUCUGUGUAAUGCGAUGAGAGGACGGAGAAGGCUAAAUCAGCCUGGCGUUGGUUGUCCAGGUGAAAGGAUGUAGGCAUGUAUCUUAGGCAAAUCCGGGGUACUCUAUGCUGAGAUCUGAUAGCAAGCUGUACUUGUACAGCGAAGUGGUUGAUGCCAUGCUUCCAGGAAAAGUCUCUAAGCUUCAGUUACACAGGAAUCGUACCCGAAACCGACACAGGUGGUCAGGUCGAGUAGACCAAGGCGCUUGAGAGAACUCUGCUGAAGGAACUAGGCAAAAUGGUACCGUAACUUCGGGAGAAGGUACGCUGUUGUUGGUGAUGGAACUCGCUUCCUGAGCUGACGACAGCCGCAGAAACCAGGCCGCUGCAACUGUUUAUUAAAAACAUAGCACUCUGCAAACACGAAAGUGGACGUAUAGGGUGUGAUGCCUGCCCGGUGCUGGAAGGUUAAUUGAUGGGGUUAGCGUAAGCGAAGCUCUUGAUCGAAGCCCCAGUAAACGGCGGCCGUAACUAUAACGGUCCUAAGGUAGCGAAAUUCCUUGUCGGGUAAGUUCCGACCUGCACGAAUGGCAUAAUGAUGGCGGCGCUGUCUCCAGCAGAGGCUCAGUGAAAUCGAAAUCGCUGUGAAGAUGCAGUGUACCCGCGGCUAGACGGAAAGACCCCGUGAACCUUUACUGCAGCUUGACACUGAACUUUGACCUUACUUGUGUAGGAUAGGUGGGAGGCUUUGAAGCUGGAACGCUAGUUCCAGUGGAGCCGUCCUUGAAAUACCACCCUGGUAAUGUUGAGGUUCUAACUCUGUCCCGUGAUCCGGGACGAGGACCGUGUCUGGUGGGUAGUUUGACUGGGGCGGUCUCCUCCUAAAGAGUAACGGAGGAGUACGAAGGUGCGCUCAGCGUGGUCGGAAAUCACGCGUAGAGUAUAAAGGCAAAAGCGCGCUUAACUGCGAGACCCACAAGUCGAGCAGGUACGAAAGUAGGUCUUAGUGAUCCGGUGGUUCUGUAUGGAAGGGCCAUCGCUCAACGGAUAAAAGGUACUCUGGGGAUAACAGGCUGAUACCGCCCAAGAGUUCAUAUCGACGGCGGUGUUUGGCACCUCGAUGUCGGCUCAUCUCAUCCUGGGGCUGAAGCAGGUCCCAAGGGUAUGGCUGUUCGCCAUUUAAAGAGGUACGCGAGCUGGGUUUAGAACGUCGUGAGACAGUUCGGUCCCUAUCUACCGUGGGCGCUGGAAAUUUGAGAGGAUCUGCUCCUAGUACGAGAGGACCAGAGUGGACGAACCUCUGGUGUACCGGUUGUGACGCCAGUCGCAUCGCCGGGUAGCUAUGUUCGGAAGGGAUAACCGCUGAAAGCAUCUAAGCGGGAAGCCUACCUCAAGAUAAGAUUUCCCUAGGACUUUAUGUCCUCUAAAGAGCCGUUCGAGACUAGGACGUUGAUAGGUUGGAUGUGGAAGCAUAGUGAUAUGUGAAGCUGACCAAUACUAAUUGCUCGUGAGGCUUGACUAUACAACACCCAAGCAGUUG
rnacentral:rRNA from 1 species